GGGGAUUUAGCUCAUUGGUAGAGCACUUGCCUAGCAAAUGCAAGGCCCUGGGUUCAGUCCCCA
rnacentral:tRNA from 1 species